GAAAUGCGAUAAGUAAUGUGAAUUGCAGAAUUCAGUGAAUCAUCGAAUCUUUGAACGCAGCUUGCGCUCCUUGGUAUUCCUUGGAGCAUGCCUGUUUGAGUAUCAUGAAAUCUUCAAAGUAAAUCUUUUGUUAACUCAAUUGGUUUCUACUUUGGUAUUGGAGGUCUUUGCAGCUUCACACCUGCUCCUCUUUGUUCAUUAGCUGGAUCUCAGUGUUAUGCUUGGUUCCACUCGGCGUGAUAAGUUAUCUAUCGCUGAGGACACUGUAAAAGGUGGCCAAGGUAAAUGCAGAUGAACCGCUUCUAAUAGUCCAUUGACUUGGACAAUACUUUUAUGAUCUGAUCUCAAAUCAGGUAGGACUACCCCUGAACUUAAGC
rnacentral:misc_RNA from 1 species